AGAGCGAACGCUGGCGGCAGGCCUAACACAUGCAAGUCGAGCGCCCCGCAAGGGGAGCGGCAGACGGGAGAGUAACACGUGGGAACGUACCCUUUGGUUCGGAACAACACAGGGAAACUUGUGCUAAUACCGGAUAAGCCCUUACGGGGAAAGAUUUAUUGCCAAAGGAUCGGCCCGCGUCUGAUUAGCUUGUUGGUGAGGUAACGGCUCACCAAGGCUACGAUCAGUAGCUGGUCUGAGAGGAUGAUCAGCCUCACUGGGACUGAGACACGGCCCAGACUCCUACGGGAGGCAGCAGUGGGGAAUAUUGGACAAUGGGCGCAAGCCUGAUCCAGCCAUGCCGCGUGGAUGAUGAAGGCCCUAGGGUUGUAAAGUCCUUUCGACGGGAAGAUAAUGACGGUACCCGUAGAAGAAGCCCCGGCUAACUUCGUGCCAGCAAGCCGC
rnacentral:rRNA from 1 species